GCGCUAAAUCGCUGUUCGUGUUCCGAGUUAGGAGGAAACAGCUGAUCGGCGGCCACGUGAUUUCGGAGCCUUCCCCUCUCCUGGAACCUUCCCAAGGGCAAAAAUUUUCUGCAACAAUGAAGGCUUGGGCUGAUGACCAGUGGCUGCAGAACAUUUGGAUGUCCACAUUUCUGCAUCUUUGUGCAAAACUCACCAAAAUAAAAGCUGCAUUGACAGUGGAGAAGAAAAAAUAAUUGUACUACAGGGAUCUGCAACACCAGAUUAUUAUUGGUCAAUCACUGUUCUCUCUUCUAAACUAAGAUGGAAUGGAUUUCUUUAAUAUUCAGGACUGUGAGCUAAGAUCAUCAGUGAAGACUCAGGAGUUCAAGCUUCC